CGACCCGUAAACCAUUAUAGUCUAUGCGGAUUAAGGAUCGGUCGCCUUCACUACGGAGGACUCGACUCAGAAAACGACUAAAAACGUUUUGUAAACAGGGUAAUUACCUUGUUAUUAUAUCAGUAUGAUAUGUUUGAAUUACCCUUUAGAUAUAAAUUAUAAAAUUAAAAACAAACCCUUAAAGGUUUGGCAAACAAAACAAAAAAGGUAUCCGUAAUGGGUGACUUAUAGAAGUAUCUUAUUAUCUCCCUGUCAUAUCUUUACACUCUAUAAAGUCAGUAAAUUUUGUGAUAUUUAAAGAAAAAACAACGUGCUCAUAUUUCGUUUGGCAGCCACGAUUUUCAUUUAAUGCCUUUCUUUUAAUUCAAUUUGCAUGCACGUAUUUUAUAGCGACUGUCGUUUUGGUUUGAAUUCCUUCCCUUUGUUGUUUUAUUUAGUUUGAAUUUUGCUGUUGCAUUUGAAAAAAUAUAUAACAUUAUAUGCUAUGUUCUGUGCAUGUGAUGUGUCAGCUUCACUCAGAACUAUGCCUACGUUCAAUCAUGCUAAGUGUUUUCGCCGCUUCUUGAUCCCAUCUCCAAGUUGACCACACAUUAUCAGCCUUAUCUGCGUUUGCACCCGAGAGCUGAACGGUGACGAGAACCAAGAUGAGGAGAAGAAGAACUUUGCGAUUCAUGAUGAUUUAUCUUUGCUUACUUAAAGAAGAUGAAAAUAUGAACGAUCAUCUCCAUCUUUUAUGUCCUCAAAAGUCGAGGUUCUUUUUCUUUUAUUUUCUCUUGUAAAGCACGUUCUUUCUCUCUUUGCGAAAAAUCUUUUUUUCUUUUUCAUGGUAAAAGAAUCAUGAAUGGUUUCUUAGAGAUGCUCAAUUUAUCUACAGAAAAAAACAACAUACUAUUGUUUCACAAGCACCCGUUCUUUACACUUAUCCUCCUUAAGUAACCAUACGUUAUAUUAAAAUAAAUACAAAUUGUUCUGGA